CACAAUAUAUAACUCUGCAAGCAAGUGGUUAGAGAUUCUAUCGAAAUACACAAAGUCCGUCGUCUGAAAGUCUGCUUUUCCGCAAAUUCUCAGACAAGCAGCAUCAAACCCUAGCUAAACCGGUCAUGUCGUCCAAGCAAGGAGGAAAGGCGAAACCUUUGAAGCAGCCGAAAGCUGAUAAGAAGGAAUACGACGAGCACGAUAUGGCUAACCUUCAGAAGAAGAAAGACGAGGAAAAGGCACUUAAAGAACUGAGAGCCAAGGCAUCACAGAAGGGAUCUUUUGGAGGCUCCGGACUUAAGAAGAGCGGCAAGAAAUGAUUCCGUUCUUAUCCAUGUAGCCUGUCUUUGACAGUGCAUAUUUAUCAACAACUUGGAAAACAAAAUAAAUCGUUUGUUGUGUAACUUCUAUCAUGUUCCUAGGAGAGUAACUCUGCGUCUCCCCUAUACAUAUGUUUGCUUUUUAUAUUAUGAUAAAAAGAAAAAUGGUUUUUAUCGUCUAAUCAAAA